UUUGUCACCCAUGGUGAAUUUUCACGUCACCUCUCCUCGGCCUCAUCCCCCAUAAUGCACCACAGGAUCCGCAGAACCAUGAAUCUACGGCCGAUUCUCUCCCUGGGAGUCGCAGAACGUGCCGGGUCCUUCCGUGAGCUCCUCCAAUGGCAGAAUUUCGCAUCCACUGCUUCGGGUCCCGGGGAACAAUUGAAAACAGUCAUCUGCAGAUUCAAGUUAUUGGGAACAGCUGAGGCGUUAAGCGAUGGCUCGUGCCCUGCUCGUCCCUGCCUUGUGCCCAUAGCUUCCAGGAUUGGCUCCGGACCCCCCGCGACCCAGUAGGAUAAGCGAUUUGGAAAAUGGAUGGAUGGAUGGAUAGUUAUACAGACUGGGAACUGCUGCUGCCUCAGCCAAUCGAAGACAGUGUCUCACAUCCGCUGCACUGACCAGGUGGUGGUUAGUACUACCCCAACACUCCUUUUCAAAAAACAGUCAACGAGAGCGAUGGACGGAGAAACCAUAAUGCAGGCAACGGACACCAAAAAUUCAGUGUUAACUCUGUCCUGUUUAAUAUUUACUUUAUUUUACAUUUCAUGCAGUGUUACCUUUUCAGGCAAAUACAUGGAAUACAUAUACACCAAAUGAUUGCAUUUAUUAAAUUAUGAAUUAAUAAAUUAUAACAUAUUUUGCUUAAUUUAUAAAGAUAGCGCCUUCAGGUACUGUGGAACCUUUUCAGUAUGUAAGCAAAAGAAUGGAUAUGGUUCUUUAAA